UACGGAGGAUGCGAGCGUUAUCCGGAUUUAUUGGGUUUAAAGGGUGCGUAGGUGGUUCGUUAAGUCUGAUGUGAAAGCCCUGGGCUCAACCUGGGAAUUGCAUUGGAUACUGGCGGGCUAGAGUGCGGUAGAGGGUAGUGGAAUUCCCGGUGUAGCAGUGAAAUGCGUAGAUAUCGGGAGGAACAUCCGUGGCGAAGGCGACUGCCUGGACCAGCACUGACACUGAGGCACGAAAGCGUGGGGAGCAAACAGGAUUAGAUACCCU
rnacentral:rRNA from 1 species